UGGCGGCAGGCCUAACACAUGCAAGUCGAGCGCACCUUCGGGUGAGCGGCGGACGGGUUAGUAACGCGUGGGAACGUGCCCUUCUCUGCGGAAUAGCCUCUGGAAACGGAGAGUAAUACCGCAUACGCCCUUCGGGGGAAAGAUUUAUCGGAGAAGGAUCGGCCCGCGUUAGAUUAGGUAGUUGGUGGGGUAACAGCCUACCAAGCCUACGAUCUAUAGCUGGUUUGAGAGGAUGAUCAGCAACACUGGGACUGAGACACGGCCCAGACUCCUACGGGAGGCAGCAGUGGGGAAUCUUCGGCAAUGGGCGCAAGCCUGACCGAGCCAUGCCGCGUGAGCGAUGAAGGCCUUAGGGUUGUAAGGCUCUUUCGCCAGGGAUGAUAAUGACAGUACCUGGUAAAGAAACCCCGGCUAACUCCGUGCCAGCAGCCGCGGUAAUACGGAGGGGGUUAGCGUUGUUCGGAAUUACUGGGCGUAAAGCGCGCGUAGGCGGAUUGGAAAGUUAGAGGUGAAAUCCCAGGGCUCAACCCUGGAA
rnacentral:rRNA from 1 species